GGGGGCGUUUUUGGAUUCGACGGGGAUAGUUCGGGCAUGAGUAGCGGGUAGUGGGGACGCGUCCACUUCAUCAACGCUAAAGCCAAUUAAACGGCAAACAACAAAACAACUACGCUUUCGCAGCUUAAUAACCUGUGAGCGUGCUCUCGCUCUGUAUCGCCCAUGUACCGGGAUGAGGGCUCAACUUUAGUGGGAUACGCUGUCUAGUCUCCGC
rnacentral:tmRNA from 1 species